UCUGGUUGAUCCUGCCAGUAGUCAUACGCUUGUCUCAAAGAUUAAGCCAUGCAUGUCUAAGUAUAAAGGUUACAUACAAUGAAACUGCGAGUGGCUCAUUCAAACAGUUAUAGUUUAUUUGGAUUUACACAUUAGUUAAAUGGAUAACCGUAGUAAUUCUAGGGCUAAUACAUGCGUUACGGGGGACUUUACGGAACCCCAGUAUUUAUUAGAUCCAAACCAAUAUUCCGAAGGUCUACUUGAGAUGAUUCAUGAUAACUGAUCGAAUUGCUGGUCUACCGGCGAUAAGUCAUUCAUGUUUCUGCUUCCCAUCAGCUUGAUGGUAGUGUAUUGGACAACCAUGGCAUUCACGGGCUAUCGGGGGAUUAGGGUUCGAUUCCGGAGAGGGAGCCUGAGAAACGGCUACCACUUCUACGGAAGGCAGCAGGCGCGAAAAUUAUCCAAUCCUGAUUCAGGGAGGUAGUGAAACAAAUAAUGAACUAGGAUUUAUCCUGGGGUCACAAUGGGCUUGAUUUGCAAACUUUAUUUAGCGAGGAACAAUUGGAGGGCAAGUCUGGUGCCAGCAGCCGCGGUAAUUCCAGCUCCAAUAGUGUAUAUUAAUGUUCCUGCAGUUAUUCGAUGCUCGUAGUUGGAUUUCUGGAGGCUGAGAUCGGAGGGUAGCCAAGGUUACCGCUGAACUCUUCCUUCAUCCACCUGUUAACGUUGUCCGGGAUUCGUUUCUCGGCUUCGGGCUCAGGCAUAUACUUUUACCCUUUUUCUAUAUUUAUUGUUUGAGUAAAUUAUAGUGUUUCAGGCAGGCGUGCGCCGGAAUACUUUAGCAUGGAAUAAUCGAAUUGGACCGUGUAUUCUUAUUGAAUUCUUCCUUAUUGUUGGUUCAAGGACACGGAAAUGGUUAAUAGGGAUAGUGUUUUUAUUAUCAGGGGAGGCAUUAGUAUCUAAUUUCCAGAGGUGAAAUUCUUUGAAAUAUUAAAGACUAACUUAUGCGAAAGCAUUUAUUAUUGCCAAUAAUGUUUUCAUUAAUCAUUGAACGAAAGUUAGGGGAUCAAAGACGAUCAGAUACCGUCCUAGUCUUAACCAUAAACGUUGCCGACUAGGGAUCGGAGGGCGUGCACAUUCCGCCUUCGGCACCUUACGAGAAAUCAAAGUCUUUUGGGUUCUGGGGGUAGUAUGGUCGCAAGGCUGAAACUUAAAGGAAUUGACGGAAGGGCACCACCAGGAGUGGAGCUUGCGGCUCAAUUUGACUCAACACGGGAAAUCUUACCAGGUCCAGACAUAGCGAGGAUUGACAGAUUGAUAGCUCUUUCUUGAUUCUAUGGGUAUUUUUUAUAUAUUUUUGGUGGUGCAUGGCCGUUCUUAGUUGGUGGAGUGAUUUGUCUGGUUAAUUCCGUUAAACGAACGAGACCUCAGCCUGCUAAAUAGUUACCUGUCUUUUCACUUUUAAUAAUUACGAGACUUGAUAACUUCUUAGAGGGACGUUGUGUGCAACCACAAGGAAGUU
rnacentral:rRNA from 1 species